rnacentral:rRNA from 1 species
UACGUAGGGUGCAAGCGUUGUCCGGAAUUAUUGGGCGUAAAGAGCUCGUAGGCGGUUUGUCGCGUCUGCUGUGAAAACCCGAGGCUCAACCUCGGACCUGCAGUGGGUACGGGCAGACUAGAGUGAUGUAGGGGAGAUUGGAAUUCCUGGUGUAGCGGUGGAAUGCGCAGAUAUCAGGAGGAACACCAAUGGCGAAGGCAGAUCUCUGGGCCGUAACUGACGCUGAGGAUCGAAAGCAUGGGGAGCGAACAGG